GACGAACGCUGGCGGCGUGCCUAAUACAUGCAAGUCGAGCGAUGAUUAAAGAUAGCUUGCUAUUUUUAUGAAGAGCGGCGAACGGGUGAGUAACGCGUGGGAAAUCUGCCGAGUAGCGGGGGACAACGUUUGGAAACGAACGCUAAUACCGCAUAACAAUGAGAAUCGCGUGAUUCUUAUUUGAAAGAAGCAAUUGCUUCACUACUUGAUGAUCCCGCGUUGUAUUAGCUAGUUGGUAGUGUAAAGGACUACCAAGGCGAUGAUACAUAGCCGACCGGAGAGGGUGAUCGGCCACACUGGGACUGAGACACGGCCCAGACUCCUACGGGAGGCAGCAGUAGGGAAUCUUCGGCAAUGGGGGCAACCCUGACCGAGCAACGCCGCGUGAGUGAAGAAGGUUUUCGGAUCGUAAAACUCUGUUGUUAGAGAAGAACGUUAAGUAGAGUGGAAAAUUACUUAAGUGACGGUAUCUAACCAGAAAGGGACGGCUAACUACGUGCCAGCCGCCGCAGUAA
rnacentral:rRNA from 1 species